UAAAGAAGAUGAGCAAAUGAUCAAAGUGAUCAUAAUAAAGAUGGCAAGUGAUCUAGAAGAUCACAUGACACAACACUUCAUAAAAUCUCUGAUAAUCAGGUUCCUUUUCGAUUUGGAGUUGUAACUAUGGAUAGAGGGAUUGAUCUGUCUCUGUUUCAACAUGAGCUCCACCUCCUAUUUUGAGAAGUUAUGGUAGUGUACACUUCUUUCCAUACUAUUUGAGCUGUUGCUACUCUGAAAUCUCAAGCAAUUGCUCCCCGCUGACUUGGUUCUUCAGAUGAAUGAGUACGUCAUCUGUCCUAACCCUAUGCGACACAAGACAAGCAGCGCAUGACUUCAGCAUGGAGCUAUCAGUUUCGAUUUGAUGUCUUGCAGCUAAUAUUGAUGCUAAUAUCGGCUUACUCUCACAUCGACUUCUUUUACCUUGACUUCAAUGCAUAUUUUGGUUUGGUCAUCUGGUGGAUUUCAUCCAGGUGGUGUAGUUUUCAACGGAUGAGUAUUACGGUUGAGCUAAGGGGGCAAGUGAACCUGAAGGCUAUAUAAAUGAUGUCAUUUGCCCAUGUGUUUUUAUAAAGAAAACAACAUCGGAAUUUAUUUUACUUGCCGUAUAUGUUGAAGCAAGUGAACCUGAAGGUGUAUUGCUUUGGUGCUUGUGUUCCGCAAGAUGCAGAGCAAGUUCUCAGGUCUUAGGCUGAAGAGGUAUUGGAGAUUUUAGUAUCUCUAACCU
rnacentral:lncRNA from 1 species